rnacentral:rRNA from 1 species
UCGAUUGAGUUUGAUCAUGGCUCAGGACGAACGCUGGCGGCGUGCCUAACACAUGCAAGUGGAGCGACGAACCGGGCUUCGGCCCGGGGCAAAGCCGCGAACGGGUGAGUAACACGUGGGUAACCUGCCCUGAUGAUUGGGACAACCCGAGGAAACUCGGGCUAAUACCGAAUGUGCCCUCCGGCCUCAAGGCCGCUGGGGAAAGGAAGCUUCGGCCUCCGCAUCGGGAUGGGCCCGCGGCCCAUUAGCUUGUUGGUGAGGUAACGGCUCACCAAGGCAACGAUGGGUAGCUGGUCUGAGAGGACGAUCAGCCACACUGGGACUGAGACACGGCCCAGACUCCUACGGGAGGCAGCAGUGGGGAAUCUUGCGCAAUGCGCGAAAGCGUGACGCAGCAACGCCGCGUGGGGGAAGACGGCCUUCGGGUUGUAAACCCCUUUCAGUUGGGACGAAGCUUUGCCGGUGAAUAGCCGGUUGGAGUGACGGUACCUUCAGAAGAAGCCCCGGCUAACUACGUGCCAGCAGCCGCGGUAAUACGUAGGGGGCAAGCGUUGUCCGGAAUCAUUGGGCGUAAAGAGCGUGUAGGCGGCUCGGUAAGUCCGCUGUGAAAGUCCAGGGCUCAACCCUGGAAUGCCGGUGGAAACUGUCGAGCUAGAGUCCGGAAGAGGCGAGUGGAAUUCCUGGUGUAGCGGUGAAAUGCGCAGAUAUCANGAGGAACACCAAUGGCGAAGGCAGCUCGCUGGGACGGUACUGACGCUGAGACGCGAAAGCGUGGGGAGCAAACAGGAUUAGAUACCC